CGGAGCAGCCGCAGCUUGCAGAACGCAGAGGACGCCCGGUGCGGCGAACCCGCGGGCAGACGGACCGAAGGACUCACGCCGCCUCCACCUGUCGGCCGAGCGCGCAACCGUGCCCGCCGACCGGGCCCUGAGCCAGGGCGCACACGCUCCCGCCCCCCGCCCAGCCCAGGCGGGAGUUUACACCUCUCCCCGCCCGGGUGCUCGGGCCGCUGCUGUAAAGCCAACUUUGGAAAAAGUUUUUGGGGGGUGAUUUGAGCCUUGAGGUGCUCAGCCCUGUGCUUCGCGAUUUGGGGGGACCUUUCCAGAAAAUGUUGCAAAAAAGCUAAGCCGGCGGGCAGAGGAAAACGCCUUUAGCCAGAGAGUGAAGACGAAACAUCGACUGCUGUGUUCCUUUUCCUCUUGGAGGUUGGAGUCCCCUGGGCGCCCCCACACGGCUAGACGCCUCGGCUGGUUCGUUACGCAGCCCCCCGGCCGUGGAUGCUCACUCGGGCUUGGGAUCCGCCCAGGUAGCGGCCUCGGACCCAGGUCCCCGCACCCAGGUCCUCCCCAGUCCCCCAGCUACGGAGCCGGGGC
rnacentral:other from 1 species